rnacentral:rRNA from 1 species
CUCGAGGGGUAUUGGUUUUCGGACCAAGAGACCGGCGCACGGGUGCGUAACGCGUAUGCAAUCUACCUUUCACAGAGGGAUAGCCCAGAGAAAUUUGGAUUAAUACCUCAUAGUAUUAUAGAAUGGCAUCAUUUUAUAAUUAAAGUCACAACGGUGAAAGAUGAGCAUGCGUCCCAUUAGCUUGUUGGUAAGGUAACGGCUUACCAAGGCAACGAUGGGUAGGGGUCCUGAGAGGGAGAUCCCCCACACUGGUACUGAGACACGGACCAGACUCCUACGGGAGGCAGCAGUGAGGAAUAUUGGACAAUGGGCGCAAGCCUGAUCCAGCCAUGCCGCGUGCAGGAUGACGGUCCUAUGGAUUGUAAACUGCUUUUGUACAGGAAGAAACAGUUCUACGUGUAGAACCUUGACGGUACUGUAAGAAUAAGGAUCGGCUAACUCCGUGCCAGCAGCCGCGGUAAUACGGAGGAUCCAAGCGUUAUCCGGAAUCAUUGGGUUUAAAGGGUCCGUAGGCGGUUUAGUAAGUCAGUGGUGAAAGCCCAUCGCUCACGGUGGAACGGCCAUUGAUACUGCUAGACUUGAAUUAUUAGAAGUAACUAGAAUAUGUAGUGUAGCGGUGA